AGAGUUUGAUCAUGGCUCAGAGCGAACGCUGGCGGCAGGCCUAAUACAUGCAAGUCGAACGGAUCCUUCGGGAUUAGUGGCGGACGGGUGAGUAACACGUGGGAACGUGCCCUUUGGUUCGGAACAACUCAGGGAAACUUGAGCUAAUACCGAAUGAGCCCUACGGGGGAAAGAUUUAUCGCCAUUGGAGCGGCCCGCGUCUGAUUAGCUAGUUGGUGAGGUAAAGGCUCACCAAGGCGACGAUCAGUAGCUGGUCUGAGAGGAUGAUCAGCCACACUGGGACUGAGACACGGCCCAGACUCCUACGGGAGGCAGCAGUAGGGAAUCUUGCGCAAUGGGCGAAAGCCUGACGCAGCCAUGCCGCGUGAAUGAUGAAGGUCUUAGGAUUGUAAAAUUCUUUCAGCGGGGACGAUAAUGACGGUACCCGCAGAAGAAGCCCCGGCUAACUUCGUGCCAGCAGCCGCGGUAAUACGAAGGGGGCUAGCGUUGCUCGGAAUUACUGGGCGUAAAGGGCGCGUAGGCGGACAGUUUAGUCAGAGGUUAAAGCCCAGGGCUCAACCUUGGAAUCGCCUUUGAUACUGGCUGUCUUGAGUACGGGAGAGGUGUGUGGAACUCCGAGUGUAGAGGUGAAAUUCGUAGAUAUUCGGAAGAACACCAGUGGCGAAGGCGACACACUGGCCCGUUACUGACGCUGAGGCGCGAAAGCGUGGGGAGCAAACAGGAUUAGAUACCCUAGUAGUCC
rnacentral:rRNA from 1 species